rnacentral:rRNA from 1 species
UACGUAGGGGGCUAGCGUUGUCCGGAAUCAUUGGGCGUAAAGAGCGUGUAGGCGGCCCGGUAAGUCCGCUGUAAAAGUCAAAGGCUCAACCUUUGAAUGUCAGUGGAUACUGCCGGGCUAGAGUCCGGAAGAGGCGAGUGGAACUCCUGGUGUAGCGGUGGAAUGCGCAGAUAUCAGGAAGAACACCUGUGGCGAAGGCGGCUCUCUGGAACGCAACUGACGCUGAGACGCGAAAGCGUGGGGAGCAAACAGG